AACGCACCUUGCGCCCCCUGGUAUUCCGAGGGGCACACCCGUUUGAGUGUCGUGAAAACCUCAACCUCCUUGGUUUCUUCUGGAGACCAAAGCAGGCUUGGACUUUGGAGGCCUUUGCUGGCACCUCUCGCCAGCUCCUCUUAAAUGAAUUAGCAGGGUCCUCUUUGCUGGUCCUCGACGUGUGAUAAGAUGUUUCCAUGUCUUGGUUUCUGGCUCUGUCACCUUUGGGACCCGCUUCUAACCGUCUUCAACCUUGCGUUGAGACAACGUUCGAGCAUGUCUCCCUUCUCGGGAAGCUCCCUCGACCCCACGAACCCUUGACCUCAAAUCGGGUGAGACUACCCGCUGAACUUAA
rnacentral:misc_RNA from 1 species